rnacentral:lncRNA from 1 species
AAAUAAUAACAUAUUGUAUUUAUUGCAGGCUGAGAGUCAAACGAAUGAAUCAGAGAAGAAAGCUCAAGAUUUGUUUAAGUAAGCAAACAAUUUAAGGAGGUAGACCUAGGUUAAGGGAAAUAACUCUUAAAAUCAUCAGUACGUUUGUGUCAGCCAUUUUCAUAAAUAUGUUAUAAGCUUCUAGGAUACAUAGAUUAUUUUCAAUCUGUUUCAGGUAAAUGCUUAAAAUUCAUUGAUGAAGUUUGACUUUUACAAACGCAUAACUGAUUUAAGGAGCUAUCUCCCUGAACCAAGGUUUACCCCCUUAAGAUAUCUUUGAAUUUACUAAAGUAUGCUUGCUCCUCUUAUAUCUGAAUUUUUUCAAGAUAUUUGGAAUCCUGUGGUUUUUGUCAAAGUUGCAGAAAGCUCGACACAGGGAUAGUGGGGGGAUUUUCAAAAUUUUUCAAUGGGUUCAUAUUUUUCUUUCGAAAUUUUUUAAAUUGCGGAAAGUUUCAAGAAAAAAUAUUCAAUUGCACAAUAUUGUGCGAUAGAUUUUUAAGAUCUUCAACACAUUUAUUUUUUGUCCAAAACUUAUAUUAUGUUAAGAAUUCAGCCAUUAUCAAGCUUGAAUAUUGUGUAUAAAUUUGCACCAACUGUUCAGGGUUCGACCUCUGCAGUGGUAUCAGGCUGCCAACAGCAAAGCAUUUUAUUUGGGUUUUGGUAUGUUUUUCUUAAACUAUAAGCAAUAGGUCACCGAUUAUUGUUGUUAAAGGGAGGGAUUGUAAGGCGAUAUGUCUGUCUGGCAGAUAUCAUCUGACCUUGACCUCAUUAUCAUGGUUGAUUGGUCAAUGAGUAGUUUUCCUGGUUAAGUCUGUUUCUUAAAAACUAUAAGCAAUGGGUCAAUUAUACUUGGUGUAUUGAAUGAUUGUAAGGUGUGCAUGUAUUCCUUAUUUGUUUUAUCUGACCUUGACCUCAUAUUUCUUGAAUCCUGUUCAGUUUUUGUGAUUCUUGUGAAGCUUUAUAUUUAGGACUUUCAACAUAAAAUCAAUGGUCAGUAAAGAAGGCAAGACAUUUCAUGCGAGUGCACUCUUAAGCUAGCUAGCUUGUAGCCAUGUAUUGUCAUUUAAAAUUUUGCCCACUAACCCCUACUUUUCUUUUCAUAAUUUUACUACAUAUAUCUUGUACAGCCCUUUUUUAGCUCACCUGACCUGAAAGGUCAAGUGAGCUUUUCUCAUCACUUGGCGUCUGUCGUCCGUCGUCUGUAAACUUUUACAAAAAUCUUCUCCUCUGAAACUACUGGGCCUAAUUUAACCAAACUUGGCCACAAUCAUCCUUGGGGUAUCUAGUUUAAAAAAUGUGUCAGAUGACCUUGCCAUCAAACCAAGAUGGCCACCAUGGCUAAAAAUAGAACACAGGGGUAAAAUGUAUAUUUUGGCUUAUAUCUUUAAAACCAAAGCAUUUAGAGCAAAUCUGACAUGGGGUAAAAUUGUUGAUCAGGUCAGUACUAUCUGCCUUGAAAUUUUCAGACGAAUCAGACAACCUGUUGUUGGGUUGCUGCCCCUGAAUUGGUAAUUUCAAGGAAAUUUUGCUGUUUUUGGUUAUUAUCUUGAAUACUAUUAUAGAUAGAGAUAAACUGUAAACAGCAAUAAUGUUCAGCAAAAUAAGACCUACAAAUAAGUCACAUGACAAAAAUUGUCAGUCGACCCCUUAAAGAGUUAUUGUCCUAUAUAGGCAAUUUUAACAACUUUUUCGUCAUUUUUUUGUUGCUUGUACAAAAAUCUUCUUCUCUGAAAUUAACUUGGCCACAAUGAUAAUUGUGGUAUAUAGUUUAAAAAAUGUGUCCGAUGACCCCACCUUCCAAACAAAAUGGCCGACAUGGCUAAAAUUAGAACAUAGUGGUAAAAUGCAGUUUUUGCUUUAUAUCUUUAAAACUAAGACAUUAAGGGCAAAUCUUUCAAGAUUUAAAUGUCCAUCAGAAUAAGAUAUAUCCCUUCACAAAUUUUCAGAUGAAUCCUACAGUCUGUUGUUGAGUUGCUGCCCCUAAAAUGGUAAUUUUAAGGAAAUUUUACUGUUUUUGGUUAUUAUCUUGAAUAUUAUUAUAGAUAGAGAUAAACUGUAAACAGCAAUAAUGUUCAGCAAAGUAAGAUUUACAAAUAAGUCAACAUGACCGAAAUGGUCAAUUGACCCCUAUAGGAGUUAUUGCCCUUUAUAGUCAAUUUUUAAGCAUUUUUCAUAAGUCUUAGUAAUCUUUUACAAAAAUCUUUUCCUCUGAAAUUACUGGGCCAAAUUAAUCCAAACUUGGUGACAAUCAUCAUUGGGGUAUCUACUUUUAAAAAUGUCUGGCGUGACCCAGUCAACCAACCAAGAUGGCCACCAUGGCUAAAAAUAGAACAUAGGGGUAAAAUGCAGUUUUUGGCUUAUAACUCAAAAACCAAAGCAUUUAGACCAAAUCUAACAGGGUAAAAUUGUUCAUCAGGUCAACAUCUAUUUGCCCUUAAAUUUUCAGAUAUAUCGGACAACCCGUUGUUGGGUUGCUGCCCCUGAAUUGGUAAUUUUGUGGAAAUUUUACUGUCUUGGGUUAUUAUCUUGAAUAUUAUUAUAGAUAGAGAUAAACUGUAAACAGUAAUAAUGUUCAUGAAAGUAAGAUUUACAAAUAAGUCAACAUGACCGAAAUGGUCAGUUGACCCCUUUAGGAGUUAUUGCCCUUUAUAGUCAAUUUUUAACCAUUUUUCGUAAAUCUUAGUAAUCUUUUACAAAAAAUCUUCUCCUCUGAAGCUACUAGGUUAAAUUAAUCCAAACUUGGCCACAGUCAUUUUUGGGGUAUUUAGUUUAAAAAAUGAGUCCGGUGACCCGGCCAUCCUACCAAGAUGGCCGCCAUGGCUAAAAAUAGAACAUAGGGGGUAAAAUGCAGUUUUUGGCUUAUAACUCAAAAACCAAAGCAUUUAGAGCAAAUCUGACAACGUAAAAUUGUUUAUCAGGUCAAGAUCUAUCUGCCCUGUAAACAGCAAUAAUGUUCAGAAAAGUAAGAUUUACAAAUAAGUCAACAUGACUGAAAUGGUCAAUUGACCCCUAAGGAGUAAUUGUCCUUUAUAGUCAAUUUUUAACAAUUUUCAUAAAAUUUGUAAAUUUUUACUAACAUUUUCCACUGAAACUACUGGGCCAAGUUCAUUAUAGAUAGAGAUAAUUGUAAGCAGCAAAAAUGUUCAGUAAAGUAAGAUGUACAAACACAUCACCAUCACCAAAACACAAUUUUGUCAUGAAUCUAUCUGCUUCUUUUGUUUAAUAUUCACAUAUACCAAGGUGAGCGACACAGGCUCUUUAGAGCCUCUAGUUGGUUAUUAUCUUGAAUACUAUUAUAGAUAGAGAUAAACUGUAAACAGCAAUAAUGUUCAGCAAAGUAAGAUCUACAAAUAAGUCAACAUGACCAAAAUUGUCAGAGAAGGAGUUUUUGUCCUUUAUAGUCAAUAUUGAACAACUUUUCGUCAUUUUUGUAACUUGUACAAAAAUCUUCUUUUCUUAAACUAUUUAACCAAACUUGGCAACAAUCAUUACUAGGGUAUCUAUUUUAAAAAAGUGACCCCUCCUACCAAAUAAGAUGGCCAACAUCAGUAAAUACAGUAACAGGUAAGCGACACAGGCUCUUGAGAGCCUCUAGUUUGAAAAUCUUAUGAAAUCCUUGUUAUUUUUUCAUUGAUUUUGAAAGAAAAAAAAAAACAAACGUUUUAAAAAUGCAUGAAAAAUCUAAAGAAAAUCAUUUCCAGCCGAAUUUUCAAUGGCUUAUAUCACGAAAACAAGCACAGGGACUAUGGUACUUGUAUAUUGCAUAUCUUUGUAUAAAAUCUUUUCUUUAAGUCAUUUAAAAAAAAUUGUGUUGGCUGCUUUUUUGACUAUCACAUUUCAUAUAUAUAUAGAUAUAAGAAGAUUUGGUAUGAGUGCCAAUGAGACAACUCUCCAUCCAAGUUACAAUUAUAAAAGUAAUCCAUUACAGGUUAAGGUACAGUCUUCAACAUGGAGCCUUGGCUCACACCAAACAGCAAGCUAUAAAGGGCCCCAACAAUUAUUAUUGUAAACCCAUACAUAUUAUGUCACUUUUUCAAACAUAUUUUAAUUUUUUUUUAAAAUUAAGAUUUAAAAGAUUUAACCUGUUUUUAGAAGCAACUAUUUACAAAAGUAAUAGAUUGGACUCUCAUUCUGCAUACUAAAUUUGUUCUUUCUUUCUAUUUUAGCUGGGAACCAAAUAAAAAGAGAUCAAGAUGAAAUAUGCAGUUUUUCCUAUAAAAAUAAAUGGAGAUUGAUAUAGUGAUGCAGUCAAAUCCUUAUUCAACACAAAUUAUAAUGAAGUGUCAUGAACAACAAAACUUUUAUGUUUGUUAAAAAAAUGUUAUUACAAAUGCAGUGUGAUAAAAUAAAUUUUUAUUUAACCAGA